UGGCGGCGAUAGCGCGGUGGUCCCACCUGACCCCAUGCCGAACUCAGAAGUGAAACGCCGUAGCGCCGAUGGUAGUGUGGGGUUUCCCCAUGUGAGAGUAGGGAACUGCCAGGCA
rnacentral:rRNA from 4 species